AUCUACGACCAUACACCCUAAAUGUGCCUGAUCUCUUCUGAUCUCAGAAGCUAAGCAGGGCCAGGCCUGGUUAGCACCUGGAUGGGAGGAUGGGAGAAAAGCUGCUCGUAAUA
rnacentral:rRNA from 1 species